rnacentral:rRNA from 1 species
UGAGGAAUAUUGGACAAUGGGCGGAAGCCUGAUCCAGCCAUGCCGCGUGCAGGAAGACGGCCCUACGGGUUGUAAACUGCUUUUUUACGGGAAGAAACCCCCCUACGUGUAGGGGGCUGACGGUACCGUGGGAAUAAGCACCGGCUAACUCCGUGCCAGCAGCCGCGGUAAUACGGAGGGUGCAAGCGUUAUCCGGAAUCAUUGGGUUUAAAGGGUCCGUAGGCGGGCCGUUAAGUCAGGGGUGAAAGUCUGCGGCUCAACCGUAGAAUUGCCCUUGAUACUGGCGGUCUUGAAUUAGUGUGAAGCGGCUGGAAUGAGCAGUGUAGCGGUGAAAUGCAUAGAUAUUGCUCAGAACACCAAUUGCGAAGGCAGGUCGCUAACACUAUAUUGACGCUGAGGGACGAAAGCGUGGGGAGCGAACAGG